UUGGAGGGCAAGUCUGGUGCCAGCAGCCGCGGUAAUUCCAGCUCCAAUAGCGUAUAUUAAAGUUGUUGCAGUUAAAAAGCUCGUAGUUGAAUUUCGGGAUUAGUACGCUGGUCGUGCCUUCGGUACGUACUGGUGUUACUGAUUCCUACCUUCUGACGAACCAUCAUGUCAUUUAUUUGGUGUGGUGGGGAAUCAGGACUGUUACUUUGAAAAAAUUAGAGUGUUUAAAGCAGGCUCGCGCUUGAAUACAUUAGCAUGGAAUAAUGAAAUAGGACGUUGAUCCUAUUUUGUUGGUCUCUAGGAUUGACGUAAUGAUUAAUAGGGAUAGUUGGGGGCAUUAGUAUUCAAUUGUCAGAGGUGAAAUUCUUGGAUUUAUUGAAGACUAACUACUGCGAAAGCAUUUGCCAAGGAUGUUUUCACUAAUCAAGAACGAAAGUUAGGGGAUCGAAGACGAUCAGAUACCGUCGUAGUCUUAACCAUAAACUAUGCCGACUAGGGAUCGGAUGAUGUUAUUUUUAAUGACUCAUUCGGCGCCUUACGGGAAAC
rnacentral:rRNA from 1 species